CUAUGCAAUAUCCUCCGAUAUCUCGAUGUGUUCAAAACAAAGAAAAGCCAAGUCAAGCAGCGACGGUAACAAUAAUAUGUUUUUUUCACAGCUUUAAUUUUAAGAAGCAGACAGGUAUGAGGAUCAAUGAAAAAACUUGUGUUAUCGGAACUAAUGUGGUGUUGGUACCUUACAAAGAAUUUCAUGUGCCAAGAUACCAUGAAUGGAUGAAGUCUACCGAGUUGCAGGAGUUGACGGCAUCAGAACCACUAUCUCUCGAUGAGGAGUAUGAGAUGCAGAAGAGCUGGUAUGAAGAUGAAAACAAAUGUACAUUCAUCAUACUGGACAAGACCAAAUGGGCUUCAAGCACUAAUGAAAUUGAAAGCAUGUGUGGAGAUGUCAAUCUGUUCUUCAAUGAUCAUGAAGUGCCCUCUCAAGCUGAGAUAGAGAUAAUGGUAGCAGAAUCAUCAUGUCGUGGAAAGGGAUAUGGCAAGGAGGCUCUCCUGAUCAUGAUGUACUAUGGUGUGGAUUUCUUGAAAGUUUCCAGAUUUAUUGCUAAGAUUGGGGAGAAGAACACAGUCAGUCUUGGCCUCUUCAAAAAACUUGGAUUUCAAGAGGUAUCUGUCAGCAAAGUCUUUCAAGAGGUGACCCUUGAUCUUGAGGUCAAAGGUCAAUUCCAUGACUGGCUAAAGGAACAGAUGAACCACUUGCAGAUUGCAGUGUACUCCCCAAAAAGGUGACAUCAUCAGUAUAGCAGUUUGUGAAAAGCAGAUAUUUGUUACUGACAGAAGCUCCAACAUGUACUUGUAUGUUGGGUGAAGGUAUAUUAUGUUAACAUGGAAUCGGCAAUUCAGGAGUUGUGCUUACCGUCGGUCACGGACGUUCUUAGACAAUUUAGCCAUAGUCUGGGCCACGUCUUUCAGUAGAUAUCCUACAAUGGCAUUUACAGUGGCAUGGGAGGAUUAGAAGCAAAAGGAUGCUGAGGAGGAUGACAACUCAGCAUCUGUCACACAUACCCUGGGCAUUCCUGUAUCCAUUGUUUUCGCUAUGCUGGAAUGAAAUGAUUAGAAGCAAAAUACAAAGAGACAUAGCUCAGACUUCUGUUAUUGUUCCUAAUCAGGGCUUUAUGAAUGGCAACAAUAUGAAAAUAUUGUGAUAUUGAAAGCUGAAAUGAAUAUGUGUGUCCAUGCUUUGGUGAUAUAGUAAAUUAUGAAGGUUUUAAUUUACAUUGUAUUUUAGACAACAAGAAAUCUGCCUUGAAAUGCUUUUAAGAAGAGAUUAUUCCCAUUACUCCAAUAUAACCCACCAGGGUCCAAGGGAAAGGGUCAUAAAGCGUUGUGGCCCAGUGGAUUAGUCUCUGACUUUGAAACAGAGAGUCUAGGGUUCGAAUCCCAGCCAUUGCGUAAUUUCCUUCAGCAAGAAAUUUAUCCACAUGUUGCUGCACUCAACCCAGGUGAGGUGAAUGGGUACCCGGCAGGAUUAAUUCCUUGAAUGCAUGAGCAUUAGAAAACGGCAUAAAAGUCAAGAGUACAUUAUUUAGACUUAGUGAAUAAAAGUAAUGUUAAUUAGCACUUGACCUAUUCAGAGGUGAUGACAUGAUGCAUUGAAAGGAAGUAUGAACGUUAUUAUAUUGGAAUGUAAGUUACCAUAGCAACCUACAUAAUUGUUAGAGAAGCAAAAAUUCAGGACUGUUUUUCUUUUCCUUUGGUUUGUAAAUGAUGAGCUUUAAGCUCCCAUUUAAGGGGCCGGGAUGUAAAUACGAGCUUCUGAAUUUUUGCGAUGACGUCAGAAGCGAGAGUUUUGGAUUCGUUUCUCGAACAUGCCGAGUGAGGGCGUAGUUGAUUUAUCGAGGAUCUAAAUUUUCUAUGAAGAUAAAUUCAACUUACAACAUUGGCAUCUCCAGAUUAACAUGAAUUUUAGAAACAAUCCCGAAAUGACUUUCAUUCUAUCUCAUAGAAAAUUUAGAUCCUCGAUAAAUCAACUACUACUCAGGUGAUUUUCCUGCAAAACUAAUAAAACAUGAAUCAAUACAUGC